GUGGGGAAUCUUAGACAAUGGGCGCAAGCCUGAUCUAGCCAUGCCGCGUGAGUGAUGAAGGCCCUAGGGUUGUAAAGCUCUUUCAGCUGGGAAGAUAAUGACGGUACCAGCAGAAGAAGCCCCGGCUAACUCCGUGCCAGCAGCCGCGGUAAUACGGAGGGGGCUAGCGUUGUUCGGAAUUACUGGGCGUAAAGCGCGCGUAGGCGGACUGAAAAGUUGGGGGUGAAAUCCCGGGGCUCAACCUCGGAACUGCCUUCAAAACUAUCAGUCUGGAGUUCGAGAGAGGUGAGUGGAAUUCCGAGUGUAGAGGUGAAAUUCGUAGAUAUUCGGAGGAACACCAGUGGCGAAGGCGGCUCACUGGCUCGAUACUGACGCUGAGGUGCGAAAGCGUGGGGAGCAAACAGGAUUAGAAACCCGUGUAGUCC
rnacentral:rRNA from 1 species